UUUCCGUAGGUGAACCUGCGGAAGGAUCAUUAUAGAGUUAGGGUCUUCUAGGCCGAUCUCCCAACCCUUUGUUUACUUAAACCACCGUUGCUUCGGCGGGCCCGUCUUCAUUGACCGCCGGAGGACCGUAAAAACGUCCUCUGGUCAGCGCCCGUCGGUAGCCAACCAUUACAAACUCUUCACUAAACGUGUCAUUAUCUGAAUAUUAUAUUAAAUAAAGCAAAAACUUUCAACAACGAAUCUCUUGGUUCUG
rnacentral:misc_RNA from 1 species